CACAAUUUGAAUUAGUAACCUUGUAUUUUUCUAAAAUCAAUACUAUGUGAUAUUCUAAACUAAAAUAAAGAAAAAAAUUAUAAAAUGGUAACCAAUAAGUACAGGGGUAAAUGGAUUUCCACAUUUGAGAAUUUAAAAAAACAAAGCAAAAAGAAAUGAAACAGAAGUAGUGAUAUUUGAAUGCUUCAGAUGGAAACUUCUGAACUGUAUACUGGUUAUAUACUGCUGCAGAUUAUCCAUAUGAAAUUUGGUAGAAGAAAGAAGCAAUGAAGAUGUGGAAGAAAUAAAUCUUGUCAAGGACAAAUAUCCUGUUUUCCCUACACGUAGAAAUUCAGAAAAGGUCUGGAGCUAUUAAGCGGCUUUCUAGAAAUAACAUCAAUUAUAAUACAAGAUGCUUUUGAGGUGGUCAACAGCAUGAAGAACAUUUUUGAGCAAGAAGCAAUGAAUCAUCAAAGGCAAGCUGGUGUAACAGACUUUUUUCACUAAUAUUGUCAAUGUUUUGUUAUUUUGUACAAAUAUUUAUUUAAAAAAUAAUAAAAUGUAAUUUAUUUAAAGUCUAACUAUAGUGUUUGUAAAUAUCACAACACAAUCUCAUUAAAAUAAUGGCAGUUUCUGUAACUCAAAAAAUUUUUCAUGUCACUUCCACUGAGUUGUCAAGUACUAUUACUACUGUAUUACUAUUACUUAAUUAAUACUGUACUUCUGUUACUUAACUUAUUUAAUGAUUCAGUGUAAACAUGUUUG